GACAGAGGGGGCAAGCGUUGCUCGGAAUUACUGGGCGUAAAGGGCUCGUAGGUGGCCAACUAAGUCAGACGUGAAAUCCCUCGGCUUAACCGGGGAACUGCGUCUGAUACUGGAUGGCUUGAGUUUGGGAGAGGGACGCGGAAUUCCAGGUGUAGCGGUGAAAUGCGUAGAUAUCUGGAGGAACACCGGUGGCGAAGGCGGCGUCCUGGACCAAUACUGACACUGAUGAGCGAAAGCCAGGGGAGCAAACGGG
rnacentral:rRNA from 1 species